AGAGUUUGAUCCUGGCUCAGAGUGAACGCUGGCGGCGUGCUUAACACAUGCAAGUCGAACGCGAAAGGGUAGCAAUACCCGAGUAGAGUGGCGAACGGGUGAGUAAAGUGUGGGUAAUCUGCCUUUCAGAUGGGGAUAACCCGGCGAAAGCUGGGCUAAUACCCGAUAACGUUGCUUGGUUUUCGGACUGAGUAACCAAACGAUGGCCUCUAUUUAUAAGCUAUCGCUGGAAGAUGAGCUCACAUCCUAUCACGCUUGUUGGUGAGGUAAAGGCUCACCAAGGCGACGACGGGUAGCCGGCCUGAGAGGGUGUCCGGCCACACUGGAACUGAGACACGGUCCAGACUCCUACGGGAGGCAGCAGUGGGGAAUUUUUCGCAAUGGGGGCAACCCUGACGAAGCAACGCCGCGUGGAGGAUGAAGGCCCUCGUGGUCGUAAACUCCUGUCUAGAGGGACGAAAGCAUUCGGUACAAAUAGCACCGAGUGUUGACUGUACUUCUGGAGGAAGCUCCGGCUAACUCCGUGCCAGCAGCCGCGGUA
rnacentral:rRNA from 1 species